AUUGAACGCUGGCGGCAGGCCUAACACAUGCAAGUCGAACGAGUGGCGGACGGGUGAGUAAUGUCUGGGAAACUGCCUGAUGGAGGGGGAUAACUACUGGAAACGGUAGCUAAUACCGCAUACCAUCAUCUUUGCCCAGAUGGGAUUGGCUUGUUGUUGGGGUAACGCCUCCCCAAGGCGACGAUCCCUAGCUGGUCUGAGAGGAUGACCAGCCACACUGGAACGGAGAAACGGUCCAGACUCCUACGGGAGGCAGCAGUGGGGAAUAGUGCACAAUGGGCGAAAGCCUGAUGCAGCAAUGCCGCGUGUAUGAAGAAGGCCGGCGGGUUGUAAAGUACUUUCAGCGGGGAGGCGUUACCCGCAGAAGAAGCACCGGCUAACUCCGUGCCAGCAGCCGCGGUAAUAC
rnacentral:rRNA from 1 species